UACGUAGGGUGCGAGCGUUGUCCGGAAUUAUUGGGCGUAAAGAGCUUGUAGGCGGUUUGUCGCGUCUGCCGUGAAAGCCCAGGGCUUAACCCUGGGUCGGCGGUGGGUACGGGCAGACUAGAGUGUGGUAGGGGAGACUGGAAUUCCUGGUGUAGCGGUGAAAUGCGCAGAUAUCAGGAGGAACACCGGUGGCGAAGGCGGGUCUCUGGGCCGAUACUGACGCUGAGGAGCGAAAGCGUGGGGAGCGAACAGG
rnacentral:rRNA from 1 species